rnacentral:rRNA from 1 species
GAUGAACGCUAGCGGCAGGCUUAACACAUGCAAGUCGCGGGGCAGCACGGGCAGCAAUACUUGGUGGCGACCGGCCCAAGGGUGCGUAACGCGUGAGCAACAUGCCCGUAUCAGGGGGAUACUCCAGGGAAACGUGGUCUAAUACCCCAUAGUAAGUUUUUGGGGCAUCUCAAAGCUUUUAAAGCUUUUGUGGAUACGGAUUGGCUCGCGUGACAUUAGCUAGAUGGUAAGGUGACGGCUUACCAUGGCUACGAUGUCUAGGGGUUCUGAGAGGAAGGUCCCCCACACUGGAACUGAGACACGGUCCAGACUCCUACGGGAGGCAGCAGUGAGGAAUAUUGGACAAUGGAUGGAAAUCUGAUCCAGCCAUGCCGCGUGCAGGAAGACGGCCCUAUGGGUUGUAAACUGCUUUUGUAUGGGAGCAAUAAGAUCUACGUGUAGAUUGAUGAGAGUACCAUACGAAUAAGCACCGGCUAACUCCGUGCCAGCAGCCGCGGUAACAC